UGAAACUAUGUUAAAUUACAGCCCUGAUCUGAAAGAGGUAGGACACCAUCAAAGAAGCAACAGAAAUCAGACUGAGCCUAACACAGAUUUGUCCUGUGGGAGUAUUUUUGACCUCUCAGGAUCCCAAGUGGGAGAACGCUGACCACCAGGUAGGGAAGGGAGACAGAACUACAACUAAUGUUGUGAAAUAAGGCAAUCACAAUGAAUUGCGGGGACUUUCAGCUUAAUGCCUUGCCCUAAAGGGAGCGAAUGUGAGGAUUGCACCACCGAAAAUGGACUGAGGAAGCUUAGCAUCACCAACCUUUUUCAAGUUUACCAGUGGAUGGAGACAAAAAGCACAAAGGAAAAAAAUGAAACAAGUUAAGAAGAGGAAGGGAAGAUAAGGUGGACCCCCUUCUAGUCCAGUUCUCUUUCCAGUGCUGAAUUGGUAUUUAAUUAUUGUUUUUAAUGAUUGGUGCCAAGAUUUUCAAGCAUGGCAGUGACCAGUCUAAGCCAUUCUAAAUCCCUACAUGGACAUUGGCCUACGCUGCUUCCACGAGGGCAGCACUCAGGACUUUCAAAAAGAAAAAGAAGCACUAAUGAGUGAUGUCAGGGAGCACUUUCAAUCUUUAUUAAAUGUAUUGAACAAUACCUUGGCAAAUUGGGUAAGACUGGAAGCAACAUGAUAACCCUGCAUCUGCAUUUUUAAAGGCUUUAAAAAUCCAAUCGAAAGGUGUGCUGCUGCAAGAUAAAGCACACUGUUUUUAAAAGGAGACUUUAAUCCAUUACAUAUAUGCCAUAUAAAUAGCUCUACUCUGCUAGACUUGAAGCUCUAACUAGAACAUAAGUGCUGUUUCUAUUUUUUUUAUUUUCUCAGUUAUCUUCUUUUACAGCUCUCCACAAUACACUCCUCAGCUAGCACUGUCCUAUAUCUAGACAAUAAACUUUCCUUUUAUUCUUUAAAGAAAGACAGUAUCCGAUAGAAGCAAUAUAAGCAGAACACUGUAAUUUUGUAUAUUCCCUCAAGAAUCAUAUUACAUUGUUUCAUUUUCUGAUUUGCCUUCUAAUUAUGAACAAUUAGGGGAUAAGAAUACUAAGGUCAAUCUUGCUGCUUUAAGUGUCCAUGACAAAAAAAAAAGAGAACAUUUAUUUUAGCAUUGUAGGUGUAGAAUAUUUUUUUUUAAGGUAUAGAUGGGAGGGGGGAGGGAGAAGGAUGAGCUGGAUUUCAGUUUCAGAAUAUGAUGGUAUACACCGGUAUAUGGUUUAACUUAGAAUAUCAUCUCUUUAGGGAGCCAGGAGAAUGGUGACAUCCAUUAGGUACCUCUGCACCUCCCAUAGGGCUGUACCUACAGCAUAAAGAUAAUACCAUACCUCCCUCUGAAUGGUGGCAUUACAAAUACUAUAUAUAAUUCCCAGGGGAUGAAAUCUUUCCCAAAUGCUGUUGCUUUAGCUGGUACAACAGAUCUUCAUUUGCACUGCUUCUUGCUAGCCCUGAUGAAGCAAGCCUUGCUUGCAAUUAACAUUAAGUCUUAUUGACUCCCUCCUAGAGGCACCCCAAUAUAUCUAACAUUAAUUACCAGCAUAUUAUAUUAAAUACCAAUACAUUUAUUUUUGCUAGGUCAUGAGCAGGAGACAGACAGAAAACUAGGCUAGCUAGGAGAUUUCCACUGACAGUACCUCUAAGCUCUCUUGAAAGACAUAUCAAAUGUGUUGUGUAAGAACUAGUUUGCAGUCUGAAUUUUAAAAAAGUUUGCAUUCAAAUAGAUUUAGUUUUCCACAACUAAAUCUUACUCCAACCAAAUGAUGCAUCUGACAACUUCAUGUAUAUUCACAUAGGUCUGUAGAAACCCAAAGCAGAAUAGUGGCCACAUCAGAAAUGUGCUGUCAUCUUCCCAGACAUCAUUUUGUGAUGAAAAACAGCCAGCAAGUGCUAAUAAACAUACAUCACCAAAUCUGAUAUCCAACACUGAUUGCAUGUAGCCUGGAAGUGUAUGUUAUGUUAAUUACUGUUGCUUAGCACAUUGGAAAUUAAGGUACAUUUGACUGAAUUCCUAGUUUGAGUCAAUGGUCUUGCACAACUCUGGAAAAAAAUCCUUGCUCUGCUGAAACAAAUGUCAAAGCUCCCGCUGACUUCAGUAGUGCAAGGAUUUCACCCUCAACAAUUUCAAAACUUUAUUCAUUUUCAAAGAAAGUGGUUCAAAUCCAACUGACAACUUGAAGUUUGCAGGAUACACUCCUGGAAUACCCACUUACAUCUAGGGCACCCCAAGAGCACUAAUUCUAAAAUAAGCAGUUGUAUUUUAGAGAGCUUAAACCCAAUGGGGCCCAAUGUGGCCCUUCUACUCUACCACUCUUUUCUUUACUCACAGCAGGACUACUCAUGAUCUUUGCAGCCCCAAGCACAUUAUAGGUGCAGAACAAAUAAAAAACAACUUAUGACCUACCAUUGAU